ACACGUAGGAGGCGAACGUUAUCCGGAUUUACUGGGCGUAAAGCGCGUGUAGGUGGUUCUGUAAGUAGGGCGUGAAAGCUCCUGGCUCAACUGGGAGAGGCCGUUCUAAACUGCAGAGCUAGAGGAUGGUAGAGGGAGGUGGAAUUCCGGGUGUAGCGGUGGAAUGCGCAGAUAUCCGGGGGAACACCAGUGGCGAAGGCGGCCUCCUGGACCAUUCCUGACACUCAGACGCGAAAGCUAGGGUAGCAAACGGGAUUAGAGACCCCGGUAGUCCUAGCCCUAAACGAUGUAGACUUGGCGUCGGUGGCUUAAUCGUCAUCGGUGUCGAAGCUAACGCGAUAAGUCUACCGCCUGGGGACUACGGCCGCAAGGUUAAA
rnacentral:rRNA from 1 species